rnacentral:rRNA from 1 species
GAUGAACGCUAGCUACAGGCUUAACACAUGCAAGUCGCGGGGCAGCAUGGGGGUUGCUUGCAAUCCCCGAUGGCGACCGGCGCACGGGUGAGUAACGCGUAUCCAACCUGCCCUUCACCACGGGAUAACCCGGCGAAAGUCGGACUAAUACCGUAUGUUGUCCAUUGACGGCACCCGAUUUGGACGAAAGGUUUGGCGGUGAAGGAUGGGGAUGCGUCCGAUUAGCUGGACGGCGGGGUGACGGCCCACCGGGGCGACGAUCGGUAGGGGUUCUGAGAGGAAGGUCCCCCACACUGGAACUGAGACACGGUCCAGACUCCUACGGGAGGCAGCAGUGAGGAAUAUUGGUCAAUGGGCGUAAGCCUGAACCAGCCAAGUAGCGUGCAGGAUGACGGCCCUAUGGGUUGUAAACUGCUUUUAUGCGGGGAUAAAGUGGCCCACGUGUGGGUUUUUGCAGGUACCGCAUGAAUAAGGACCGGCUAAUUCCGUG